rnacentral:rRNA from 1 species
UACGGGGGUGAGCAGUAUCGCGAUUCACUGGGUUUAAAGGGUGCGUAGGUGGCUUUGUAAGUCAGUGGUGAAAUCUCGGAGCUUAACUCCGCAACUGCCAUUGAUACUGCUUAGCUUGAAUCAAGUAGAGGUGGAUGGAAUAUUACAUGUAGCGGUGAAAUGCUUAGAUAUGUAAUAGAACACCGAUUGCGAAGGCAGUUCACUAUGCUUGUAUUGACACUGAGGCACGAAAGCGUGGGGAUCAAACAGG